CCAUAUAUACAUAAACCAGACCAGCACCAACAUUAGAGAAACAAAACCGAAACUGUGACUAUAUGACAACCUCAUCUGCAUCCUUGCGAAGAAGAGGAAUCAGGUAAGAAUAUGUGAUUCUGUGCACGGUUCUUUCCCCUCCCCUGUAUAUCCUUAUAUAUAUAUAUAUAUAUGUAUGUAUAUGUAUAAAUGUACUUACACACCUACAUACAUAUAUCAUAGUCAUGAAUGCUCAUCUUGUAUUUUUAAUAAACUAUGGGAUAUGAAUUUUGACCUGAAAGAGGAUUUCAAAAAUUCCAGACGCUAAAAUUACGCUUAACUUUCACUAAUUUGAGUACGAAGAAAUUUCAAGACGCAUAUCUCAGCUAACAGUAACCUCACAUAUACAAAUAGUCUAGAUAAAUUUAGUUUAAUUUUGAAAAAUAUCCUUACUUUUGAUAUAAAUUGAACACUCAAAUGGCUCAAAUUAAAUACUAAAAAACACCAAAAUGUGACAAACACUAUACACUCACAAUGCCACGUUAUAACAUAGUAUCUUAACCAACCAAUAACAACGCAUCAUUAAAGAUAACACCUAUGUGAGUGUGUAUUCCUUUCUAUGGAGUUUGCUUUUAGAGCCAUUCAUUGUUCUAUCUCAUUCUCUCUCUCACCUCAUAAAACUCACUAGUCCAACAUCAACCAAGGUAUAACCCACGAAAAGAAAAAAAAUUCACUUAGAUAAACCAUAUCUUCAUCAUGGCUUCAAUAACCUCAGCCACCGUCGCAAUCCCAUCUUUCACCGGUCUCAAAUCCACAUCCUCCAAACCCUCAACCGUCGUCAAAAUCCCACCGUGGCGGCAGCAUCAACGAAGCUCACCGUGAAGUCAUCACUAAAGGACUUCGGAGUCGCUGCCGUAGCGGCUGCAGCUUCCAUUGCUUUGGCUGGAAACGCCAUGGCAAUAGAUGUUCUCUUGGGAUCAGGAGAUGGGGCGUUAGCCUUUGUCCCCAACGACUUCACAAUAGCCAAAGGUGAGAAGAUUGUGUUCAAGAACAAUGCUGGAUUCCCACACAACGUUGUGUUCGAUGAGGACGAGAUCCCAAGUGGUGUUGACGCUAGCAAGAUCUCGAUGGACGAGCAAGAUUUACUCAAUGGUCCGGGAGAGACGUACGAGGUUGCUUUGACUGAGCCUGGGACUUACAGCUUUUAUUGUGCGCCGCAUCAGGGUGCUGGUAUGGUUGGUAAAGUUACUGUUAACUAAUAAAAUGUGACUGUAAUGUGACAGAGAAUCUCUGAGUCAGGUAGAGGCUUUUGUUUCAGUCUUACAUAAGGUGUUUUGAACCGAAUGGACCGUGAUAUGCUAUAAUGUGACUGGUUCCAUAAAUGCUAUUUCUUCGUUAUAAAUUAUAUGUAGAUUUAUGUCUCGCCCUAAAGUCUAUACUCAAGAGUCAAGACCAAUUAGGAAUAUAUUUAAUCAUAAUGUCUCAAUCAGGAUUUGAGUUCAGAUGAGUAGAUAGUAUCCAUAACAUAUAUGAAUUUAACUGUUAAAUUUUGAAGUGUAUAUUUAGUACGUACAAAUUCAGUGAUAAGACGAACUGCAACAUGUAAGAAUCCAUUUAUAUAACAAAUAUUAAAAUAAUUUCAUCAUGUUUAAAUCCAGAAUCUGAAUCUGAAGUCUAGUCUUUCGUAUGACCGUUUUUGGCUAUCCCGAUUUUGUUUAGUGGCACAAGAAACCGAAAAUGUGGUGCUUCAAACCGCCACUAAAUAUGCAAUCAAUCAAAUUUUCAUUAUAUUCGAUAAUAUCCACUUACCAAGUGUAGUAUUGAUGCAACUUUUUUUUGACUAAAAUAUUGAUGCAACUUGGAAGCUUGAUUAUGUACUUGUGAGAUUGGAUGGGUUAUUUAAAUGGUUUGGACAAAAGCCUAUCAGAGGUUACAUUAUGUAAUAGAGGCAUAAGUAAGAUCUCUACUUGGUUUAUGACUUGCUUAGAUAAUAUCUUGGCUUCAACGAGUAAUGUAUGAGAGUGAUUCACGUGUAUUCGUCAAGGCAGUAAUACGUGAUUAGGGCAAUCAACAGUUUCAGAGGGAGACAAACCAAUAAUUGUGCUCAUCUUAUAGCUAAUAACGCAUUAAAAACGUGUGGAUUUAUUCACAAAUCGAAUUAUUUUGUUUGUUUGAAGUAUUCAAAAACUUUAGACCUAGUACGUAGAAACGAAGUUCCGACACAAAAAAACAACUACACAUGGAAGCAGGAACGAAGACAAGUUAAUAACUAGCUUUAACUUGUAGUGGUUUUGGUUGAUCCAUGGUUCUUCUCUUCCACAGAUUAACUUCACUCUUCUGUCUCGAGCACAUGGCCAGAGGCGUGCUUACAGCGCAUGGAAUCAUCGUCUCUUUGUCAUCGGAAGAGUAACCUCGGCGGUGAUGAUCCGACCGAGAUUCUUCACGUUUGAUCUCGGCCGUCCAAUCAAAUCCACCUAGAGCCUCUCUGCUGCUCGCGAAUUUCUUCAUUUUACACAACGAAGGCGCCGCAACCGCUUCCACCGCCGAGAUCGGAGGUUCGCUAGCGGCGGAGACGGCUACGUAGUUGGAUUUUCUCGACCCCAUUGAGAAGAGACGUUUUAGUUUCGACCAGUUUCCCUUGCCUGCUUCUUUAACAAGACGAGACGAUGCCGUUUUGAGAUUCUUGCGUUCUCUGGUCUUCGUCUCUGGACAUUUCGACUUAUUAGCGAGUUUGAUCUGACCGAUGCAGGAGACUUUAGGCGAAGUGGGCUCGGCGAAAACGACGGCGUUCUUGGUUCUUCUCCUAGCUCUUGAGGCCGCCGUUGGAAGCAACGGUGUUAUCGGACCAGAGAAGAAAAAUCCUCUGCUCACCGUCGAAGCCGUACGGUGGUGAUGGAAAUCUCUUACCGGACUAAACGGACUGUGACCAAUUGACAAGGCUUUCUGAAGCAUCUUCGAGAGUUUCGUGGGGUUGUUGUCAGAUGCUUUUUCCAUUUAUUCACAAAGUACACGAACACGGAGAUCCUUGGUUUUAUAUAUGUACUUUCUGUUGUGUCUGAAAGUUCUCAGAAAGUGAGAGUCAAAGGAUGUUUAUAGAUGAACACAAUUGAAAAUGUCAAGAUGAUGACGUCAUGGAAGGGUUUGGGUCAAAGCUGAUGCUAAACCGGAGAAGAUCUUAAUGUUAUGAUACAGUUUUGACUUCAAACCGGAGAAGACAUUUAUGGUUUAAAGACUUAUACGGCCGACUUUGAUUCGGUUUACAAAAUCAAAUGCUGAUUGGUUUACAGUUUUCCUUAUAGCUUAGGUUGUCUUCUUAUUUCGACGCGGGUUUGUUAAUGGUUUGUUUGACUUUUAUGGAGCUAAUCUCACACGUGUUGUAAUACGUUAUAGUGUAUGAAAACUAAUAAAAGCCACAUGAUUGUUAAGUUUGUUAUGCUUCAAACUGUAGUUGAUUGUGUGGAAUUAGUUAAAUAAACUAAUUAGUACAUGAACAGCUCGUUAGCCGAUAUAUUAUUAUAUUGAAAGCGACGUGCAAAGGGAACACUUGUCCUUUUGGUUUUGGUCUUGUUAUUAUAAGAUUCCCAAACAGUUGUCAAUACACAAUAGAGUACAUGUGUCUACCAGUUUGUUACAUUGUCAUUGGACGGUGAGAACUACUUCGUAGGACUAGUUCCUCUCAUUCAGUCUUCUCUUGUCUAGUUGUUUAUAUACGUUACAAUGCAAUUAAGAAUAUGCUGUUAAAUAUUUUUCAUCUUAGUUCAUGGCAAACCACAAUUUUAUAAGACAGCUGUACAUACGCAUUACAUUCCUUUUUGUUUGGAACUCAAGCUACUUUUUGAUCGCUAUAGCUUUUUGUAAAAGAUCUUGGUGACUUAAGGAUUUCUUUUGUAUUUCUUGAUUUUUUUGUGUGUCCCCAACAUCUUCUUUGGUUUGGUUGACUCAUGAGACUCAUAACAUUAUCUCAUAUAUAAACAAAUAUCCAAAGCUUUUUGGGGAUAUAAAUAAUAUGGUGAACAUUUCAAAUAAUUUAGAAACCAUAUAGUUUGUGCAUAUUUUUCUUAGAAAUUUGGAGGCCAUCGCCAUAAUCCAAUAUUUCAUUUAAUUAUGGUGAGGAACGGCCCUAUUAGUAUUUCGAGAUGCACGUUAACCAGUGUUUAGCCCAAAUCAAAGUUACAAACUGAUUGACAAAUUGCUUGAAAUGUUUCUUAAAACUUCUUUUUAACUAAUUUUUUUCUUAAACUUGGUCGAGGAAAAAAAUAGUACUGCUUUGAUGCUUGGAAGGCUCCUUCCUACAAUGGCCAUGCUAAUGACUAUGGAGAAUGUGAUCUUAUCAGGCACGCAUCCGUGAUCAUCCAUUCUAUGACAGUAAUGUUCCUCUGAAGCUAACCCAGGUCCAAAGUAACGCCUAAUCAAGAUCAUGAUUCACGAAGGUAUCCAUCGAAGUCUCUACAUCACUAGAUUUCAUGAGAUCAAUCAAGUGCCAAGCUGAUAGGUUGAACUAUCUUACUUUACCUGCAAGACGAUGAUUUCAUUGUAACUUGUAAGGAUGAGGCGAUUUCUUGUGGUACACGUAAGUUACCCAGUGAAAGAAAGCUAGCGAUUAAAGGAGAGGGAUUCCGUCAAGAGAGAGUUUUGAUCGUGUUAACGCCAUUAAUGAGAGGUUUGAUGACCUCUCUCUUGAGUCUUGAGUCGCUUUCAAAGCUCAGAACUCAGAGUAGCUCUGGACCUCUGGUGAGCCAGCAAAAGGUGAAACUUUACCUGAAGCGGCGACGUUUAGUGCUUCCUCUAUAGAUGAUACCUGUUUUUUGCGUUUAAUAGUCUUUUUCUUUUGCUUAAACGUGUCAUUAUCGUGUUACUAGUCCUUUUUCAUGUAAAUCUAUUGCUUGGCAAUUAAAAACAUUUAAUGGCAAAACCAAUACGUCAAGUCAUAAUUCAAAAGAAUAUUACUCGUUUUAUUUGAACAUAUCCGACUAUAUAAGGAUAUACCCAUUUGGCAAAAAAAGGGUAAGGAUAUACUCAAUACAUUGGACAGUAUUCUACACGUAUUAUAUGAUGCUUGACCACGUUUUGUGGCUAUGAUAUGUGUCACCUGGAUGAAGUAAUACUGGAUGAUGGUAAUUGCUACAUUUUUUUCAUUUAAGGUAUAAGCAGCUUGACCAAUGCCAAUUUCCUGAGUCCUGACUCGCAAGUGCUAGGACUAUUCUCUCAUUAAACAAAUAAGCUUAUACGAUAUUUAAAAAAAAAAAAGAAGCAAAAACAUAUACGAUAGUUUCAAACCUAGCUUAUGGGUGACAGAUCAAAUCAAAGUCUUAAUAUGAUUUAUAAUGACAAAUGAUUUAGGAAUACGACUAAUUAAAACAAACGACUCUUUCUAAAGUUUAAAUCUUCUAAUCUUCGAUCCUAAUCCGAUCUAGCUUUGGAAAUUUUCACAUUACAUUCCAGAGAUAAAUACUAACAACCCGCCUAUACUUGUAUAUAAUUAUAGAUAUGCUAUCUUCUCUAUAUCUAAAGUCCUAAUCCAACAUUAAUUAUAUAGUUGACACAUAACCCUUGUUGCUUAUAUAUUUAUAUAUUGCUCCAAAACCUCAUAAAAACAGAUAUUAAUCACUGGGUUCUUAUCAAAUAGUGCCGUCGGCGCCAACGCCGGCGGAAGAGAGGGAGACGGAGGAUCAGCAGGUGUCGUUAAAGACUCUGAUUCCGUUCCGUUAUCCAGCUGGGACCAAGACGCCUCCGUUCGAGCAUAUGUCUAAGUCGUUACAACGUCGAUACGUCAAGGUUAAAGAGCCUCUCUUUGAUCCAGUGACAUCCAAGCCUAUUUAUUGGCGGGAAGAGCCUUUUGAUGUCAACGGCAAAGAUCAUGACGAUCACGACCAUGAUCAUGGAUGUUUGUUCUUCUUGAAGGUAAGCAUUCGAAGAAUGGUCGAUAAAUGGUUUGGUCCUCUUCUUGGAUUACCCAAAACUGAAGAUGCUAAUUACUGACAUACUUUUUUUUUUAAAGAUUGAAACACAAACAUGAGUUUAAUUCUUUCUGGUUUGGGACUGACAUUGUGAGAGUGCUUUAAUGAGUUUUUUUAUACGAGUCUUUGAUUGUAUUAUCUUUUUAUACGAGUCUUUGAUUGUAUUAUCAUAAUUAUCUUGAUAUGUUUUUUCGAAUACGAAGUAUGCACGUCUAAAGAUUGUGGACAACAUAAAGUCUACAAAACAAAAGAUUGUGGAAAGCAUUAUUUCUUGUUAACGCUUUCAGUUUUGUGUUCCAACUUCCAAACCCGUAUUAUGACACUAUCAAAUAAACACUGUCAUCUUUAUAUAAAAGCUGGACUGUUAUAUUCAUAGAAAUUAUCAUAGGGACGGGACCAUUCUUGAUUUGGAUUCGUAUAUUAGUUUCUCUAUCUUACAACCAGAGAACUCACCAAAUACAAGAUAUGGCACAUAUGUAUAAUAAGAGUGUUCAAGGAAUAGAUUAUUACAAAAGAGAAAUACAUGAUUCACCAGUUUGGAAGACAAAAACACAAGGCUUAUAAACAGCGUUUGUGUUACUAGGCUUUCCUACACAAAGCCUUUAUUAUACAAAUGAAAAACAAAAGAAUAAUCCCAAAUCACAAUUCUGAGUUUUUUUUCUCACGCAAUCUUGUUUUUUCUUCUCGAGACAUAAUUAAAAGUUCCAAACUUCCAAAUAAGAAUGGAGCAACAUAGAGGCUGUUUAAGAAAGCUUUAGCUUGUGGAGUCGCGGCUGUAGAAUUGAUCAAGUGUUUUGGCUGGAAUACGGUGAAGAAGCUCACGAGGGAAGAUACGGAGCAGUGUCCAUGCCAAGUCAAGUGACUGGAAGAUGUUUCUUGUAUCGUAUGCUCCUUGCAUCACAAACUUCCUCUCAAAUUUGUCCAGAAACUCUAAAUACAGCUGCAUAACCACACCACAAGAAGCUGAGUUAAUUAUUGUUGUGAGUAUUUGAUAUGAACAUGAUGUAUGUGAUUAAGUAGAGAAAGGUACCAGAUCUUCAGAAGAAAGAGCUUCUUCUCCAACUACAGCUUUCAUGGCUUGAACAUCCUUCCCGAUUGCAUAGUUUGCGUAUAGCUGAAAUUAAUAAUACAUGAUAUUAUGAAUUGGUUUUGAUGAUACUAAAUAACCAUAUGAGAUGCUUUAGUUAUAGAUAGAGAACCUGGUUGGACACAUCAGAAUGGUCACGGCGAGUCAUUCCCUCACCAAUACCAUAUGACGAUGCUCUUAGUUAUAAUAUGUGAACCUGGUUACAAUCAAUGCACCGAGUCAUUCCCUCAAAUCGCUCUGAUAAUUAGUGAACGAUGAAAGUAAAAGUCAUAUUAUGUUUCUAUCAAUGUGAAUCCAUAAGGUAUAUAAUACAAUGGUUUAGCUACCUUCAUUAAUCGAGAAAGUGAUGGAAGCACGUUGAUGGGUGGAUAUAUCUGUUUUAGGGAUGAACGAAAAUGAAUGAGAAACUUCUUUUAUUACAGAUACAAAAAAUGAAUGAAGUAUAGCGCACCUGUCUGUUGUGAAGUUGCCUGUCAAUGUAUAUCUGACCCUCAGUAAUAUAACCAGUAAGAUCCGGAGUAGGGUGAGUGAUGUCUGAGUAUUACAACAAGGAGAUAAUAUGAGCUUUGUUCAUUCAGAAAGAAGAGAAUCCAAGAAUGAUAUGACUUUAUUUACCAUCAUUGGGCAUAGUGAGGAUAGGGAUUUGGGUAAUGGAACCCUUUCUUCCUUCAAUACGCCCUGCACGCUCAUAGAUAGUUGCAAGAUCUGUGUACAUAUAACCCGGAUAUCCACGUCUCCCAGGUACUUCUUCUCGAGCAGCAGAGACCUACAGUUCAUCAAAAUACUUCAGAAUUCGUGCUGUUGUCAAAAAUAAAAUGUAACAUCUUGCUGGUUGGGGUUUUCGAAAUCCUAAAUCGAGUUAUGUAUCAUGGGACGGAACACCGAAACCAAUGAAAGACAUUUUACCUCACGAAGAGCAUCUGCAUAGGAACUCAUGUCUGUCAAUAUAACAAGCACAUGCUUCCCACAUUCAUAAGCUAAAUACUCUGCGGUCGUGAGGGCAAUUCGAGGAGUGAUAAUUCUCUCGAUGGUCGGGUCAUUUGCCUGUUGGAGUGGGAAUGCAUACUAAUGUCAAAACAUCAUUAACAUAACUAUUAGUACUAGCACGAAGUCAAGACGCAUAGUUACCAGGUUCAGGAAAAGAGUAACUCUUUCCAUUGAUCCAUUUUCUUCAAAUCACGCUUUGAAGAACUGAGCCGUCUCAUGUUUACACCCAUAGCUGCAAAAAACAUUGCAAAGUUGUCCUCUCCAUGGUCCUGGAAAACACACAGAGAAUAAAUCGAAGGAGAUUAUACAAGGCAACCAUAAUCAGAGACUGAAAGUACGAAGUAAAAUACUAAUUGUCAAAGAAAGUAAAAUAAUCACAUGGAUUCUUCGAGGUGCUUAAAUGCAUUCUUAGAAAGUGAAUGUGUGCUCGGGACACAUUUACACUUCAGCAUGAUCCUCAAAAGAUAAAAAAAAAUUACUUUAGUGGUGGUGAGUAGAGCAAAAUGAUUACCUCAAUUAGGUUCUCAGUCUUCUCCAACCGCUUAACAAGACCAGCCUGACGACAAAUUUGAGCAGCGAUUUCGUUAUGAGGUAGACCAGCAGCAGAGAAAAGAGGAAUCUUCUGUCCACGAGCGAUGGAGUUCAUGACAUCAAUGGUAGAAAUCCCUGUUUGUAUCAUCUCUUCAGGGUAGGUUCUCUCACUGGGGUUGAUUGAACUUCCUAUACACAUUAUUCACCAACACAAUUAAAACAACAAGCACAAUCUUUAUUUUCUUGAGAGACCACACAAUGAAGCAAUAAACACUCACCAGAGAUAUCAAGGUAUGCCUGGCAAAAUGGAAAUAUGCGGAGGAGCCGUUUAUGCGUCAAUGUCUUGUGAUACAGGGUCUUCAAAACCUGAAACACAUACCCAGACCUGUAUAAAUCUCGGAAAACUACCAAAUCAACCUUGUGAACUGAACGGUGGUAAAUUUGUUGUCAAUCCCAGAUGUUCCUUCAAAAACCUGAAACCAAUAACGUUAUUGAGAAGAGAGAACCUGUACAGUCUGCAUUGUAGGUAGAGUAAGACGAAAAAGAUGAUGAAACCUGGACAACAGCUUUCUCGCCAUCAACUUCCAGAACCUGACCACGUCUCAUAGAUCCAUCACCUAAGCGAAUAUUAACAAUCUCCUGGUACUUUGGCCCCUGUUACAUUUCACAAACAGUUUAAUAAAUCCUCAGAGUUUAAGUAAAGCUUCUUGCUAACAAUGUAUAUAUAUAUAUACCUUCACUUUCUCAAGAAUGACUAAAGGUCCAGCAACCCCUGAGACAGUUCUGUACUCUACACAAAUUCAAAGAUUCUCAAAUCAGCAUCUUAAAAAGAUAAUAAUAAUCUACAGAAAAGGGUUGAUUAUGCACAAAUCAAUACAAAGCGGAACAAUCACAUGAAAUACACAAAGUACAAGGACUAAUAUGAGAUCCAUGAUCGGGAGACUUUACCCAUUCCGAUCUCGAGAGCUCCUUCAUCCAUGUCGAUACCAGCCGCUCCCAUUGUCGCAGAUCAAUAUCAAAUCAAACCGCUCCACAAAUCCUGUGGAAAGGGAGAGAAAAAAAAAAAGGUUACAAUCGCGAUGUCGAAAUGAAACUAAAUCAACUGGAUGAGAUCCAAUCAGAUCCGAAGAAGAUGAGACGGAGAUCGAAGAAAGAUCUGAGGAAGCAAAUCACGUACCUGGAACGAACGAAUGGAGAGAGCGAGUUGUGUGAUUGAACGAACGUGGUUGGAGUAUAUCCCACUGACCUCUCUAAUUAUUGAAGUUAUUAUUAUUUUCCUUCAAAUCCAAAAUUAUUAAUUUUUCCACCGAAAAGUUUUUUUUUUCCUUCAAGAAAAGAAAAAAAGAAACGCCCACCGUGGGUCUCGAACCCACGACCACAAGGUUAAGAGCCUUGAGCUCUACCAACUGAGCUAGACGGGCUUGUUGUGUAACACAAAGCUGUUAAUAUAUAUUAUCUAUUGUCAUAGCCUACCGACAGCAAGUGUAUUUACCAGGCGAGAGGCUCAUAAAGUUUAUGUCUACUUGUAUGAUGAACCAAAUUGCUGAGAGCAUCAUGCACUAUAUAUCUUCUGUAGGUUGACCAUUCAUAAGCUUCUACUGAAUUAUAACGAGUAGUAUUAUAGAAACCUAAUUUAUGAGGAUCAACAAUCUUCAAAAAUGUCACCAGAAAUCGACACAAGAACAUAUACCAUCUUUAAAGCAAUGGACAUAUUUGUAUCUUUUAUCGAAGAUCUCUUUACCUGUGUAAACCGAUACUAGUUUAGUCAUUGACAAUCGUCGCUUAUCCUAAAGUUCUUUAUGACUGAAGAGGUGUACCAUCUGAUGUGUUGAGAAGACCAAAAAAAUGUUGCUAGUUUUUCGUUGUAUCCCCGUAACAUGUGCUCUCUCUCUUGCUCCUCCACAUAUGACAGAGCAAAAUCCAUGAUUGGCUGAUGACUCGAUUUCUUCAACAUUUUGCUAAUCCCAUACAUGUUAUUUGUUAUUUGAUCUGUAUGCAAACUACUUUGAUGAAACAUUAUUGUUUGAUAAAAAAAACUUUCAAAGCUAGAUAUAUAAAAAAAAAAUCAUACCAACUUGUAAACUAUACCUCAUUAGCUGUGUCAUUGUAAACUACUAUUUCUUAACAUUUACACCAAAAAAAUGAAGUUAUUUUCAAGGCAAUGGAAAAAGCUAUCAACAAGAGUGUGACCAUUGCCGAGCUCAUUAAGGUAUGCGUUCUUUUAUCCGUUCCUAAUAACAAAAUGGAGCAGCUUUAUUUUAUCUGACCAUUUAUUUUGUUACUGUAAUCCUUGAUGCAGAGAAGGAUUCCUGGAAUCCAUCAGCACACAUCUAUUGGAUCCAUUGACAUAACUGAUAUCUGGGAGAGUAAAGAGGAAGGCCUUCUUCCGUAAGUCGAUUGAUAAUGUGUAUGCUCUUAGUUUUGUUGUCCAGGCAUGUUAGUUACUACUUCUUUGUUCCUUUUUUUCUUGUGAAGGAUUGAGACAACAAGGCAUGUGUUAGUGAUCACUAUAACGCUUUCGAAGAAGGAGCUGAACACAUCCGCAGUUGGGUGAGUUCUUAGUGCUUGUUUGUUUUGAUAUUUUAGGUACAGUUACAUUGUCUUAAGCACUAGUAUGUCUCUGGUGCUAAUAUCUUGUUAAAUUAUGUUGCAGUUACCAGUGUCCGAUCCCAAUCGAGUUGGGGAAGCCAUUUGUUGAGAUUGAUUACGAAGGAAGAGGUAAUUACAGUGACUUAUAAUGAACAUUUUCAUCCUCCCUAAGAUCCUGUCUUUUAUAUGUUUAUCUAUUUGUUGUAGAUGGAUCACCUUGAGGCAGAGAAAGAAGAGGCAGAGGAAGAGGAGACAGAGGUAGCAGCAUUGCUUUAUCAAUCUUAUUUCUAAAAUCUUAGAGAACGGUUCCAUUUUUGUUGAUCUGACUGUGGCUUUAUGUUUUCUCAGUUGUAUCAGGGGAAAGAUAUGUUAACGUUGAGUAUGAUGAUGAAAGUAUGGAGCCUGAGUAGGUACCUGGGAGAGGAGGACGUGGUGGUUGUGGGAGAGGAGGACGCAGUGGUCGUGGAAGAGGAGGGUUCAUUCAGCUAAACGCUAGUGUUACUUCAAACGAUCCCGUAUGAUCUCUAACAGCUUAAUUACUUGGCACUUAGCUUGCGCAUAAGCAUUGCUCGUCUCAAGAACCUAAACAGAAGAACCAUCGAUGUCAUAAUCCUAACCUAAUCUUCUUUCCGUCUCUGUGAAGAGCAACGUACGUGAGUUGGGCAAAAUGACACAGGACGUCGAGAUGAAAGAUAACCAACACCCCUUCUCAAUCGAUCAUCUCCUCCACGAUGCAGCGUGCGUGAAUCUCAAUCGUUAGGAGCUUCAUUGUUCUUCUUUUUCUGAUUGAUCAGAAGAAGUACCCCGAGGUUAAUCAUGCAUGCUGCCUGCCUCAUCAUGAGUUAUAUUUAUGAAUUAUGAUAAUGGGUUUAGUUUCAUGAGUUUGCUUUUUGGUUAUCUCUUAGGCUAAAGCUUGUUCUUCGUCAAGACGGCAAGCAUUGCUCGUCUCAAGAACCUAAACAGAAGAACCAUCGAUGUGAUUGUUGGAGUUAGCUUGAAGUAACUUGAGAUUGAAGCUACCUAAUCCUAGUGUGUUAUGGAAAUCUAAAGGAUUAGGAAAUAUUGUUUUAUGUUAAACCUAUUGUGUUUAGGAAACUUUGGUUCCUAUAUAAGAAGAUGUCAAGAUGUGACAUAGCUUAUGAGCUUUGAGUGAUUUUGAUAUUGUGAUUGUGAACUUGAUUGAUUGAAUAAGAGAAGGACUUCUUAUUGAUAUCGAUUGUGUGAUUCUACAUUUGGUAUCAGAGCCAUACAAAGCAACUUGAAGAUCAAAUUCAACAAACAUGGGAGACGACAAAGACGAGAUCGCUAUGCACAAAGAUACAAAACCUACCUCCAUCAAGUUUCCUAUGCUAACAUCCUCAAACUACACGGUCUGGUCUAUGCGAAUGAAAAUUGCGCUCAAAGUCAGUGAAGUAUGGGAAACAAUCGAUCCAGGAUCCAAAGAUGAGAAGAAGAACAAUAUGGCUAUUGCGUUUUUGUUUCAGUCCAUACCGGAGGCUUUAGUUUUACAAGUUGGAGACAUAGAAACAUCAAAAGCGGUUUGGGAUGCGAUAAAGGCAAGGCACAUUGGAGCCGAAAGAGUCAAGGAAGCUAGGUUACAAACCCUAAUUAAUGGCGGAAUUUGACAGACUCCAGAUGAAAGAUGGAGAUACAAUUGAUACUUUUGUCGGUAAACUUUCGGAGAUUUCUUCAAAGUCUGCAUCGCUGGGCGAGAUGAUUGAAGAACCUAAGCUGGUAAAGAAAUUCCUUAAAAGCUUGCCAAGGAAGAAAUAUAUUCAUAUGGUUGCCUCUCUUGAGCAAGUCUUGGACCUUAAUACAACCAGUUUCGAAGACAUAGUUGGACGAUUGAAAGCGUAUGAAGAAAGAAUAGCUGAAGACGAAGAAGAAGAUUCUCGUGACGAUCAAGGGAAACUUAUGUAUGCUGAUACGAAUCAAGAGAAUUAUGGGGGGCGAGGCCGUGGACGAGGUGGUCGCUCAAAUUGGCGAGGACGAGGACGUGGCCGCUCCGGAUCUUCAUUCCAGAGUCAAAGAGAAGCAUAUAGACAACGACUAAGCGGAGAUAUUUCGCACAUCACAUGCUUCAAGUGUGAUAAGCUAGGUCAUUAUGCUUCCGACUGUCCAGAUAAAGCACUUAAGCUACAAGAGACAGUCGAGAAGAAGGACGAAGAGACUCAGGAAGCUGAUGAAUUGAUGGUUCACGAGAUAGGACGGUCUCAACGAGUAAGGUCCAAACCCUCUUAUCUCGAUGACUACAUUCUAUUGGCUGAGAUUGAAAGUGAACGACUAUUGAUGGUAAUAAACGAGGAACCAUGGGACUAUACUGAGGCCAAGAAGCUAAAAGUUUGGGUAGAUGCUUGCAAAGACGAAAUCUUCUCUAUAGAAAAGAAUAACACAUGGGAUCUCGUUGAACUACCAUCUGGUAAAAAGCCUAUUGGUCUUAAAUGGGUGUUUAAAAUAAAACGCAAUGCCGAUGGAAGUAUCAGUAAGUUUAAAUCACGGUUAGUAGCAAAGGGAUACGUCUAAAGGCAUGGGAUUGAUUAUGAUGAAGUCUUUGCACCGGUGGCUCGAGUUGAAACGAUUCGUUUGAUCAUUGCACUAGCCGCUUCUAAUGGGUGGGAGAUCCACCAUCUUGAUGUUAAAACAGCAUUCCUCCAUGGAGAGCUGAAAGAAGAAGUUUAUGUGGUACAGCCUGAUGGUUUCGUUGUUAAAGGUCAAGAGGAUAAGGUUUAUAAGCUCAAGAAGGCUCUCUACGGCUUGCGCCAGGCUCCAAGGGCGUGGAACUUGAAACUGAAUCAAAUCCUGCGUGGCUUAAACUUCCACCGAUGCUCAAAAGAACCCUCAUUAUACCGCAAGGAGGAACAUGGCAAACUUCUGAUCGUGGCUGUGUAUGUUGAUGAUCUACUUGUUACUGGUUCAUCACUUCAACUAAUACAAGAAUUCAAGAAAGAGAUGGCAAAUAAGUUUGAGAUGAGUGAUCUUGGCAAGUUAACCUACUACUUGGGAAUAGAAGUUCAUCAAGGAGAUGAUGGCAUUGUUCUGAAACAGGAUAGGUAUGCACGCAAGAUCCUUGAGGAAACCGGAAUGGGAGCUUGCAAUGCAACACAUGUUCCAAUGGAGAUGAACGCUAAGUUCACUAAGUCACCAGAUGAGAGAAGUGUCGACCCAAAAGAGUACCGGCGAAGCAUUGGUUGCCUUAGAUAUCUACUUCAUACACGUCCUGACUUAUCAUUCAGUGUCGGAGUGCUAAGUAGAUAUAUGAAAGAUCCGAAGGAGUCUCACGGUGCGGCAUUGAAGAUGAUACUGCAGUACUUGCGCGGGUCAUGCUCUCUUGGCUUAAGGUUCUUACGCGAAAGGAACUUGAAACUUUUACUAUUCCUUGAGUUAUGAGCUAACUGGCGAUCUUGCUGAAAUCCGCGGGUUAGUUGUAGUUAACAGACGGGUUGUUUUUAGUUUUUUCUUUUUUGUACUUGGUUCUUCCCAUCUUAGUACUAAUCAGUAGUUUAACUGUUAAUUCUCUGGUUUCAUUUGUUUAUACAUGCAGGAAUCUUCUUGCCUUGCAUCACUCUGCAACACUACGCCAUGAUGAGUUGGGUCAGGUAUGUGUGUGUUUAAACCUCUACGUUCAUUGCUAUGAAACUUUUGUUCGCUGAUUGAAAUUUUUUGUGUUGAAUACAUGAAACACUUCUAAACCUGUUGCUUCGUAACUACCUGCAUUACAUUCAAACCAGCAGGUAGCUCUUUCUUGUUUAUGCUUUCAUACACUUUUAUAUCCAUUUCCCUAAUCAUUUUCCACUUGCAGUCAUAUCACUAACUAGUCUCCAACCUAGUUGAUGUGUUCCAUUAUACUCUCUUGCUCAUCCUUUGGUCAUUAUCUUCCAUCUGUUGUGUGUACCUUUUCUUUGCUACAUAAAAAUCAUCUUCUAUUUGAUAUCCCUUCCUGACGUCGCCAAAAAGCUGAGGCUCAGCUCGGCAAACCCUGUGGCUGAUGCUGAAAGCAUAGUGCCAAAGGCCAUACGCGACGGAGCAAUGGACGCGACCAUCGAUCACAAAAACGGGUGCAUGGUCUCCAAUGAAACAGGGGACAUCUACUCCACGAAUGAGCCACAGACAGAGCUUAACUCGAGAAUCGCGUUCUGCCUCAACAUGCAUAACAAGGCGGUCAGAGCUUUGAGGUGUCCUCCCAACACCCGCAAGGAGAAAGAGAGCGAUGAGAAGAGGAGGAAGAGUUGGCUAAGCAUAUGGCUGAGGAAGACGAUGAUGACUUUUAGAGAAGGAUAAUAUCUCAGUUUGAGUUUGUUUACUCUCACUCUGUUUCUUGUUUUUGCACACAACUUUACUGUCUACAGUGCCUUUAGUUCUAAGUGUUUUAUUGAGGAUAUGUUUCCUCCUCUCCGGAUAAUCAUUGUUCCUUUUUAUUACUUUGGUUAUAACUUUAGGAAAAGAGAUUUAUAUUAUCUUGUUGAAUACUAUAAGAGAGAUUAGGUGGGUCAGUAAUGCAACAUUGGCAUGUUAAUAUGUAACUUUAAGUCCACAUUUAUCUCUUAACUACUAGACGGUAAAGACCCUUGAAUAUGAUAUCAGAAGAAUGAAGACAAGACAUGUGUAAGGCCAUUAAAAUAAUUGAUACAUAAGUCCGUUCCUGCCAAACUAGGUUUCAUUUUCUUAAUAAAACAAUCUCAUGUUAUGCUUUAAGUUUACAGGUCUUUGUCGUGUGACCAAUUAAUUUAACGUGGGUUUUUAGGUAGGAGUAGGACACUUAAACUCAACGUCACGUAGGUAUGCCUUUGUGAUUAACUAAAACCAUUUUUUGCUUACGAUAUUACUAAACGCUAAUCACUUAGACCAAAGACUCAACGGAUUCUCUGAGCAACCCAACCACUUAUUGUUAUGUAUUUUAUUAAAGGUCAAAUAUUUCUUAAGUUUAUAACAUGCACAUGACUCAUCGUUACUAAACCUCGACGAGAAGAGUGACAAUGACACGAGCUGUAGCAAAAUUGGUAGGAAGAAGAAGAUACAUCGUUUAGCAGGUGGGAAGUUUUGGAGUCAACUUAUAGCUGGGCCAGAAGCGCCCUAGACUUCUUUAAGUUUACACCCUCUUUCUUCUUUGUCCAGGAGGAUGAGCAGAAAAAAGAGAUUGCUACUUCUAAUGACCUAAACGUCGACUUUCUAACUGCUGUUAUUGUUGCCACAACCAUCAGUUUCAGUGUUUAAUACUAAUCAUGCAUAAAGUGAGAGGUGAUUUUAAUAAUAGAAAGAAAGAGGGAGUGUACCAAUCAUGCAUCUAAAGAAAAAAUACUAAAGAACUGAAAAGAUAUAUACUAAGUUCUGUAUAACUUUUUCCUUUUUUGGCCAAAGAACUGAAUUUCAAAUUUUCUCUUUUUUUGGCCAAAGGACAGAGUUUCAAAAAGUUGAAAUAAAAACAGUUAGUGGUAACAGAAAAAGUAGCAUAUAAAACAAUUGUCAUAUGGCAUUCUUAGGUGUAAUGGCGCAAUCACAAAGAAAAAAAAAGUAAUAUAGUUCAUGUAUAUUUCACCAUGUACAUGGCUACAUCAUGACUCAAUCCAGGAACGAUUUUGGUAGAUCAUGACUAUCCACGCAACUACCAAAAGUCGAUGUGGACUGACGUGGACAGGUGAACAAAAAAAUAAAGGAAAAGCACACAAUCAAUCGAUUAUAAAUAGAGAGAAAGAGUCAUUACAACAAAAGCAGUUUCGUCGAGAAGAUUCAGAUCAUCAGAAGAGAGAAAAUGGGGACAGCUUGGUUCGUUUGGCAAGACUCUAGCUACCAGCUGCUGCUCCUGCAAGACAGAGAAAACAUGUAAUAAGUUUUUUUUUUUGAAACACAUUUCAUUCGUAAAAGCUCUUAAGCAGAGUUGGUUGAAGCCAUAAUGGCAAGUUCAGCAGACAAAACCUGCUUUGCUAAACUAUCAGCUACCCUGUUACUCUCACGUGAGAUCCAGGUAAAGGAAACAAAUUCAAAAGAGGAAGAGAUAGAUUUAAUGUCGGCCACGACACCAUAGAGCUCCGCAAAGGAACCAUCUUCUGUCAAAGCUUUGACAAGUUGGGACGAGUCCGAUUCACAUCUGAUUCUUGGGAUGGCGAGUUCUCUGCAGUGAAGAAUCGCUGCCCGCAGUGCGAGACCUUCAGCUAGAAGAGGAGAGUUUACAAACCUUUCAGGUAGGGAGAAGGAGGAGAGCCUGGAGCGAUCCUCUGUUGUCCAUCCUAUUCCAGCAACUUUUUUGGUCUCAUGCCAAGCUGCAUCAGAUCUAACUCGAACACAAUCUGGCUGAGCUGUUCUUGUAAUGAGGUUCUUCUUGCUCACGAGCGGGGUUUUUGUCUGCGCUCUGCUCCAUUCUGCGCCUGCUGCGACUGCUAUAGAUAGUGUAGCUUCUACAGUGAUUAUCCUGUUGUUAAAGACAAGGUUGUUUCUGGCCUUCCAAAUUUGCCAAAGGAUCCAGGGUGCCAAGGAUCCUACUGCAAUUCCAGAUGGGGGUAAGCAUCGUCUGCUGCAGAAGCUGUUCCAUACGUCCUGUUUUGAGAAUUCGCAGUGUAAGAACAGGUGCUCUAUUGUCUCGAGGCUACCACAUCUUUUGCACGUCCCUUCCACAUUGAUAUGUCUUCGAAGUAAUUGCUCUCCGCAGGGUAUAGCUCCAUGAAAGACUUUCCAAGCAAAGAGUUGGAUUUUAGGAGCUGUCUGUAGCUUCCAGACAUUCUUCUUCCAGUCAAAUUCUUGAUCGGUCUGUGUGGCUACUAUGGGCUCCGGCUGCGACGCUAAUGCUGCUAUGUAUCCAGUCUUUGUGGAGUAGGUGCCAGAGACAUCUUUCAACCACAUUAGUUUAUCAGGAGCACCUGUCAAACUGGGUCUGAGAGAGAGGAUUUUGUCUUCCUCAAAGGGUAGGAUCUGGCGAAUUUUCUCCACAUCCCACACGUUACCAUCUGGGUGAAAGAGGUCCGAUAUCGUAAGUGUGAGGAGCCCCUCAGGUGCUGGACCCAUUGGGCGCAAUUGCUCUGUUAGACUAAGCCAAGGCUUGUCCCAGAUGUUUGUACUCUGUCCAUUACCGAUGGCCCAGCCAGAGUUUUGGAGAAUUAAAUCCCGUCCCGUGAUGAUUCCUCUCCAUCCAUGUGAGCAACCGUCAUGAAGAUCAACCGAGAGAAACGGCUCCGAAGAACAAUAUUUACCUAAAAGGGUUCGACCAAGUAGACUAUCUGGGUAGUUUAAGAUCCUCCAGCUGAGCUUUGUGAGGUAUGCGUCGUUAAAACUCUGAAUAUCCCUGAACUCGAGACCUCCAUGCUCUUUGGGGAGUGUUAAUUUCCUAUAUAAUCUAUCAUAUCCUCAAUCAGUAAUUAUAAGUGUUUGGUUUAAACUAAGGAUAAUUAAGCCGGCUGCUUGGUGGGAUGGAGAUGAGGAAACAAAAGACAUAUUAGGUGGAAGAGAUGAGAAAACAGGAGGGACUUGGUUGGGUUGUUCUAAGCAAGGCCGAGUUGCAUUUCUUGUGAAUGUGACGAAUCAAACAUCUUUUACCCAUACGGGAGCCGAGUUGCUUACUGUCAAGUUCUUGAAGGUAUAUAUACUUCUUUCCUAAUUAUGAAAAGUUAUUAGUACUUGGGUUCUCAUGAUCUUGAUACAGGGGAAAAUGACUACAAGUGAGUUUGCAAAUGAACUUGCUAGCAACAAAGAACUGUCGUCUGGCCUUACCUUUAACUUAGUUGUGGCAGACAUAGCUUCAAAAUCGAUGGUUUAUAUCUCUAAAAAGUCUCCAACUAAGGAAGUCGAUGAGAUGAUAGAUCCUAUUGGUCCUGGUCGUUAUUUCAUUACCUCAGCCGGGAUUUAUGAUAUCUUCUCUUCACAGGUCAAUUAAAGCGACAUAAUUCUUUAGUCGAACAUGUUUUAAUAUAGUGAGUAACAUUUUUGUGUGGGGGAGGGUGUUAUGCAGGAUAAACACCCGAAAGGCAAGUUCAGUGAAGUACUUGAUGAAAACAAAGAAUCACCGAGGAGGGAGUUUUAUGAAAAGUUGAUGAAUGAUGAUCAAAUCAUUGUACCUGAAGGUGAAGGUGAAACCGAUACAAGCAGAACUGUAAGAAUAAAUACAAUACAGUCAUUUUUCCCAUUAAUCUGAUGUUUUGGACCCUUCAUUCAUCUUUUUGUUCUUUUGGGUUUAGGGUCCAAAGGGGGUGUGCAUUGGAACAACAUCGAUAGAGGUCAAAAGGGGUACUAGCAACAUAGGCUUCAAUGAGUACUACUGGGAGAAUGAUGAAUUCAAAGAGCAUAAGUUCCAUUUCGACAUGGAGUAGUUACAAUGAUCCGCAAUGAGCGAUUUGAUUAGUAGUAUGAUGAUAUAUAAAAUAAUCUUGUUGAAGUUGAUAAAGCUGUUAUAAGAUCGAUUUAGGGAAACUUCUUUCCUUGGUAGAUAUUAUUAUCUAGUCAAGAAGAAUAUGGUUUAAAAAGAAGUUGGAUUUUCUUAGCCUUUCCUUUUUUCUUUUUUUUUUUGAACUUCUUAGUCUUUCCUGUUACUCAAAUUUUACUCAAUAUAAUGCUUAUAAUGUUCAUCUAUAUAAUUCAGUUGAUGCCUGUUUGUAUGGUUAGAAGCAAAAGAAAGUAGAGCAGUCAGGAUUACAUAAGUACAAUUAAAAAAAAAAUUAUGUGCUAUGUACUACAAGUUUUCUAUAACCACUGUGUACUACAUUUUAUUGUCAUUUGUACUGCUUAAAAGACCCAUAUAUACAUAAAACAGACCAGCACCAACAUUAGAGAAAAAAAUCGAAACUGUGACUAUAUGACAACCUCAUCUGCAUCCUUGCGAAGAAGAGGAAUCGGGUAAGAAUGAUUCUGUGCACGGUUCUUUCCCCUCCCCUGUAUAUCUUUAUUUAUUUAUAUGUAUGUAUAUGUAUAAAUGUACUUACACACCUACAUACAUAUAUCAUAGUCAUGAAUGCUCAUCUUGUAUUCUUAAUAAACCAUGGGAUAUGAAUUUUGAACUGAAAGAGGAUUUCAAAAAUUCCAAACGCUAAAAUUACGCUUAACUUUCACUAAUUUGAGUAAGAAGCAAUUUCCACACGCAUAUCUCAGCUAACAGUAACCUUACAUAUACAAAUAUUCUAGAUAAAUUUAGUUUAAUUUUGAAAAAUAUCCUUGCUUUUGAUAAAAAUUGAAUACUCAAAUGGCUCAAAUUAAAUACCAAAAUGUGACAAACACGAUACACUCACAAUGCCACGUUAUAACAUAGUAUCUUAACCAGCCAAUAACAACGCAUCAUUAAAGAUAACAUCUAUGUGUGGAGUUUGCUUUUAGAGCCAUUCAUUGCUCUAUCAAAUUCUCUAUCUCUCACAAGUCCAACGAUUCAGCCAAAGGAUAACCCACAAAACAAAAACUUUCACUUAGAUAAACAAUAUCUUCAUCAUGGCUUCAGUAACCUCAGCCACCGUCGCAAUCCCAUCUUUCACCGGUCUCAAAUCCACAUCCUCCAAACCCUCAACCGUCGUCAAAAUCCCCACAGUGGCGGCAGCAUCAAUGAAGCUCACCGUGAAGUCAUCAUUAAAGGACUUCGGAGUCGCUGCCGUAGCGGCUGCAGCUUCCAUUGCUUUGGCUGGAAACGCCAUGGCAAUAGAUGUUCUCUUGGGAUCAGGAGAUGGGCCUACAGUGUAUUGAAAAAGGCAUUCGCCUUAGGCCCCUCAAUAAUAUUACAAUUUCUAGGGCCCCAAAAUUUAAAAUAAUUUCUAAUUUAGUUGUUUAAACUUAUUUCUAAAAAAAAACUCUCAACGAGAAUCAAAUAACUCAAUUUCUAAAUCCAUAUACUUUUUUCUUAUAGAAAUAUAGCAUAUUUAUGUAAUAAACUUAUUCUUGUAAGUGUUAAACUUAUGUAUUUCGUGAAGGUGAUAUAUUGUAUUAGAAAAUUGUUUUCUUUAUAGUUGUAUAUAAAUUUAUUUUUAAAACUUGUCUUAGGCCCCUAAAACCCUUCGCACGGCACUGGUUAUGAUAUGUGUGACCUGGAUGAAGUAAUAUUGGAUGAUGGUAAAUGCUACAUUUUGUUCAUUUAAGGUAUAAGCAGCUUGACCAAUGCCAAUUUCCUGAGUCCUGACUCGCAAUUGCUAGGACUAUUCUCUCAUUAUACAAAUAAGCUUAUACGAUAUUUAAAAAAAAAAGAAGCAAAAACAUAUACGAUAGUUUCAAACCUAGCUUAUGGGUGACAGAUCAAAUCAAAGUCGUAAUAUGAUUUAUAAUGACAAAUGAUUUAGGAAUCUAUACUAAUAAAAGAGACCUUUUGAGGCUCCAUAGAGCGUCCACAUCAGCAAAAAAAAAUUCUCCCGAAAGAUGACAUGUGGCUCUAUACUAAUAAAAGGGACCUUUUGAGGCUCCAUAGAGCGUCCACAUCAGCAAAAAAAAAUUCUCCCGAAAGAUGACACGUGGCAUAAAUUAUAAGUUUUACAUUUUAAUAUUACUAAUUUUCGAAAAUCUAUCUUAAAAUGUAAAAUAUAGAUAUUACGCAAAUAGAAAGUAUAAGAAAAGGAAAUAAAAAAUUUAAAAAAAAAUGGAAAAAGUACAUCAUUAUUUAAACAUCUAUCUUAAAAUGUAAAUCUAUCUUAAAAUAUAAAAUUAUUACUAAAUAGAAAGUAUAAGAAAUAUAAAUACACAAUAUAAAGAAAAAUAAAUAAUAAGUCAAUAUAUAAUAUAAGUAAAUACCAAAUUCAAAUAAUAGAAAAUUACAUUAAGAUUUAAAAAUAUAUCUUAAAAUUUAAAAUAUAGAUAUUACGUAAAUAGAAAGUAUAACAAAUGGAAAUAUACAAUUUAAAAAAAAAUAGAAAAACGUACAUUAAGAUUUAAACAUCUAUCUUAAAAUGUAAAAUAGAAAUAUUAAGUAAAUAAAAAGUACAAGAAAUGGAAAUACAUAUACAGGAAAAUAAAUAAUAAGUAAAUAAUGUAAAUAUAUAAUAUAUGAAUUAUAUAUAUAGUAAUAAGUAAAUAAACAAUUUUUUUAAAAAAUGGAAAAAGUUCAUUAAGCAUUAAACAUCUAUCUUAAAAUAUAAAAUAUAUAAUAUAAGUAAAUACACAAUUUAAAAAAAUGGAAAAAGUACAUUAAGAUUUAAAUAUCUAUUUUAAAAUAUAAAAUAUAGAUAUUACGUAAAUAAAAAAUGUAAGAAAUGGAAAUAAACAUUUAAAAAAAUGGAAAAAUGUAUAUUAAAAUUUAAACAUCUAUCUUAAAAUGUACAUCUAUCUUAUAAUGGUAGUAAAUUAUAUAAACAUGGAAAUACCACAUUAAACAAAAAAAAUAAAAAUGUAUAGUUUUACAUCAAGAAAGUCCCUAUAAAACUCUUUAUUCCAUCAACAUCAACCUCACACUAUCAAGGAAAACUUCAAAGCACUCUAGCAAAAAAAUGGUUCCACCAUCAACUCUUGCCGUCCGAAAAACCUUUAAUAACCUUGAAGGAGAUUUUUUAUAACAACGAACUUUUUGUUAGGUGGAUUCAUUGUUGGGAAACCCGUAACUUCCAAAAGCCAAACUUAUCCAUGGGGAUUGAAUUGCUUUUCAUAGACUCAAAGGUAUUUUUACAAAUUUAAAUUAAUCUAAUCCAUAAUUUUAUUGUUAAUGUUCAUACUAACUCUUUUGUGAUCAAACCAUUACAGUUAAUAACCAUUCAAGCGUUUAUCCCAAAACACUUCCUUCCUCGCCGAAUCAAGUAUUAGUUCAUGUUGGUUUAGAAUUAUUUUUGGUUUAUUAACCGGUUUAGGAUGGUCCUAUUGUAAAUAUAAUUUAAGUUGGUUUAGCAAAUAUUAUGCUUAAAAUAACUUAAAUUAAAUAAUAGUAAUAUUAUGCUUAAAAUAUAAUUUUAGAGAGUUUUCAAAUAUAGUUUACUGAACAUUAUAGGUGAUAAAUUUAAUUUAUUAAAUUCGUUUAUUACUUAAAACUAAGUUUUUUUAAAAAC
rnacentral:lncRNA from 1 species